UUUUGGGCGGCAAUUGUAUUUCCUUCUUCAUACAUACGCUUUCUUCAAUUUGGCAAGUAAUCAAUUCUCUCAAUCAAUUGAAAUCAUUCUCCAGGAAAAUUGAUUUCUCUUUACAAACAUCACACAUUUUGCUCUAGCUAUCAUCGUUCACCCACAUUCAAUUUUACAAACCCUAAUUAUCAUAUAGGUGAGUUGAUUCUCUGGCGAUUUCAUACAUCUGCGGUUUUAUUUGAAACACUCAAUCUCUAGCAGGGUGAUUCUCAUCAAAGUGAUUAUUGGAAGCCCUAAAUUGUAACCAGUGGAAUUGAAUCCAGCCGUCCAUUGAGAAACCCUAAAAUCUUCAGAAAAGUUUGAAGCUUGAGAGAUAGAGACAAUGGAAACAAGUGGUGGUUGGAGCCAUCCAUCCAUGUUUUAUCAUCUUUCCAUCAGUCAACAAAUGGUACAUAAUACUCAAGAGUAUAUUCUCUCCGAUUGUUUGGUGUGGAUUUCUCCCAAUUAGAGAAAAUGGAUGAGAGUUUUGGAUCAAGAGCAAUAGAGACUUUUAAGCUUUUUGGUGUAUGGGGGACUCAAACAAUGGGAUCGAAUGGCAGAGUAGAGAAGUCUAUGUUGGAUGGAUUAUCAAGACAAGGGUCAUUGUAUAACCUAACAUUGGAUGAAGCUCAACAGCAGUUAGGGGAUUUAGGGAAGCGUUUUAGUAGUAUGAAUCUAGAUGAGCUUUUGAAGAGUGCUUAUAGUGCUUAAACUAAUCAAGAGGCGAGUAGUAACACGGUUGAUUAUACAGAGCUCACGCAGCUUGAUUCGGGUGUGACGAAGAAGAGAAUCUUGAACAGCAGUAAACGCAGUGGAUAAACUAUCAAAGUCCUGCAAUUCAGCAGCAGAAUGUGAUUAUGGCGGGUCAUUAUCAAGUUUAGCAAUCAGUUCCAGGUACCUCUUUAGGGGGUGUGGGUUAUUUUAAAGAUAUUGUUAGAGGGUUGCAUGCUCAAACUGAUAAAAGAUAAUAUGCAUUUGAGGAAAAACAUUAU